rnacentral:siRNA from 1 species
AGGGCAAAUUCGUCAAUUUUGGGC